GAUGUAGCUCAGUGGCAGAGCACUUGCCUAGCAUGCACAAGGCCCUGAGUUCAAUCCCCAGUGCAACA
rnacentral:tRNA from 1 species